rnacentral:rRNA from 1 species
AUGCAUGCCCUUAUCGGUAUGGUUCCUCCGGAGCCUCGGGAACCAGAAGCAGGAGACAAGAAGAAGGAAAGAGUCGAAGCUGGUGCUCCUUUCACGUGGAUUGCAUGGAACUUUGGUUCUUGCCCUGAGGAUGCUAAUGAGAAUGAGGUCAAGACAUAUGCUCGCGUCUACAUGUGGUACGUUAUAUCCAGGACUAUGCUUGAUGAUGGCAUAGGCAAGAAUGCUCCAUUGAUGUGGCUGAAGGUGUUGACCGUCUUCGAUAGCAAAUGGAGUUGGAGUUUGGCGACACUGGCUUACCUAUAUAGACAGGUAGACAGUUGUUUCUUUUUCACUUCAUUGCUACAUUAUCAAUGCGAUCUUCUUGUUAAUCCAACCAUGUUCUCUUUUAUGUGA